rnacentral:rRNA from 1 species
AUUGAACGCUGGCGGCAUGCUUUACACAUGCAAGUCGAACGGCAGCACGGGUGCUUGCACCUGGUGGCGAGUGGCGAACGGGUGAGUAAUGCAUCGGAACGUGCCCAUGAGUGGGGGAUAGCCCGGCGAAAGCCGGAUUAAUACCGCAUACGCCCUUAGGGGGAAAGCGGGGGAUCUUCGGACCUCGCGCUAUUGGAGCGGCCGAUGUCGGAUUAGCUAGUAGGUGAGGUAAAGGCUCACCUAGGCGACGAUCCGUAGCUGGUCUGAGAGGAUGAUCAGCCACACUGGGACUGAGACACGGCCCAGACUCCUACGGGAGGCAGCAGUGGGGAAUUUUGGACAAUGGGCGCAAGCCUGAUCCAGCCAUGCCGCGUGAGUGAAGAAGGCC